rnacentral:lncRNA from 1 species
CUGAUGGAUUUAGGUCCUGAUGCACGAUUUUUGAGAAAAAAAAAGAGUUUUAUAGGAUUUAUAUGUAUAGGUAUGGUUUUUGGAGAUUGGAGAGGGUUGGUUUUGUUGCAAAUCGGCGACCAAAUCGGACAAAACGAUGCUAGAUUCGAUGCCCCAGUCGUGCUGAAUGCGCUGGCGCAAUCUGAUCGGAAAUCCGACGGACGGAUCUUCGGAAAUCGCGAAAUGUUCGUUGAGGGGUCGAAUUGGCAAAAACAGAAAUUUCGUGAAAGGUCUAAUAUUUUAUGUGCCGUUUUGCGUCAUUUCGAACGUCG